GGAUGAGUGGUCGAGUGGUUUAUGGCGUUAGUUUUGAAAACUAUUGUAUUUUUUGAAUACCGUGGGUUCAAAUCCCUCCUCUUCCU
rnacentral:tRNA from 1 species